CCUACGGGAGGCACCAGUGGGGAAUAUUGCACAAUGGGCGCAAGCCUGAUGCAGCCAUGCCGCGUGUAUGAAGAAGGCCUUCGGGUUGUAAGGUACUUUCAGCGGGGAGGAAGGUGUUGUGGUUAAUAACCACAGCAAUUGACGUUACCCGCAGGAGAAGCACCGGCUAACUCCGUGCCAGCAGCCGCGGUAAUACGGAGGGUGCAAGCGUUAAUCGGAAUUACUGGGCGUAAGGCGCACGCAGGCGGUCUGUCAAGUCGGAUAUGAAAUCCCCGGGCUCAACCUGGGAACUGCAUUCGAAACUGGCAGGCUAGAGUCUUGUAGAGGGGGGUAGAAUUCCAGGUGUAGCGGUGAAAUGCGUAGAGAUCUGGAGGAAUACCGGUGGCGAAGGCGGCCCCCUGGACAAAGACUGACGCUCAGGUGCGAAAGCGUGGGGAGCAAACAGGAUUAGAUACCCCAGUAGUC
rnacentral:rRNA from 1 species